rnacentral:rRNA from 1 species
AUUGAACGCUGGCGGCAGGCCUAACACAUGCAAGUCGAGCGGAGCGGCGGAGGGGUGGGUAAGGCCAAGGAAUCUGCCUGGUAGUGGGGGAUAACGUCCGGAAACGGGCGCUAUUACCGCAUCCUAUCAGAUGAGCCUAGGUCGGAUUAGCUAGUGGUGGGGGUAAAGGCCUACCAAGGCGACGAUCCGUAACUGGUCUGAGAGGAUGAUCAGUCACACUGGAACUGAGACACGGUCCAGACUCCUACGGGAGGCAGCAGUGGGGAAUAUUGGACAAUGGGCGAAAGCCUUAUCCAGCCAGGCCGCGUGUGUGAAGAAGGUCUUCGGAUUGUAAAGCACUUUAAGUUGGGAGGCGUUACCAACAGAAUAAGCACCGGCUAACUUCGUGCCAGCAGCCGCGGUAAUAC